rnacentral:lncRNA from 1 species
GGUGGAGGAGGAGAGUAGACGGGUGGAGGAGGUGACUUGUAGUAGUAAGGCGGGGGAGGAGAGUAGACUGGAGGAGGAGGUGAUUUGUAGUAGUAUGGUGGGGGUGGCGAGUAGACUGGAGGAGGAGGUGACUUGUAGUAGUAUGGUGGUGGAGGAGAGUAGACGGGUGGAGGUGGUGACUUGUAAUAGUAUGGUGGGGGUGGCGAGUAAACUGGAGGAGGAGGUGACUUGUAGUAGUAUGGUGGUGGAGGAGAGUAGACGGGUGGAGGUGGUGACUUGUAGUAGUAUGGUGGGGGAGGAGAGUAAACGGGUGGAGGUGGUGACUUGUAGUAGUAUGGUGGGGGAGGAGAGUAGACAGGUGGGGGUGGUGACUUGUAGUAGUAUGGUGGGGGAGGAGAGUAGACAGGUGGGGGUGGUGACUUGUAGUAGUAUGGUGGGGGAGGAGAGUAGACAGGUGGAGGUGGUGACUUGUAGUAGUAUGGUGGGGGAGGAGAGUAGACGGGUGGAGGUGGUGACUUGUAGUAGUAUGGUGGUGGUGGAGAGUAGACUGGAGGAGGAGGUGACUUGUAGUAAUAUGGUGGUGGAGGAGAGUAGACGGGUGGAGGAGGUGACUUGUAGUAGUAUGGUGGGGGAGGAGAGUAGACGGGUGGAGGUGGUGACUUGUAGUAGUAUGGUGGUGGUGGAGAGUAUACUGGAGGUGGUGGUGAUUUGUAGUAGUAUGGUGGAGGUGGAGAGUAUACUGGAGGUGGUGGUGACUUGUAGUAGUAUGGUGGAG